AAAGAUGGGGGCCAAGGGGUUUAACUGUUAUGCUGUUAUGGGGCAAUUUAAUUCUUUGUUAUCUGUUAUCUUGAAAAUAUAUUUGCUGUUAGCUGUUAUUGUCUUAUUCUUUGUUAGCUGUUAUUGGGCUUUUAGUUUUUUUUGUUAUCUGUUAUUGUGAUAAUGUAUUUGCUGUUAUCUGUUAUUGAAAAUUGGAAUGUUAGCAUUUUGUUUUACAGUCAAUAUUCGGUAUAAAUUGAAGAUCAUUGGACAUUGGGGUCUACCACUACUAAUAUGUUUGUCCCGUAUUCAGAGAAGGAUUCCAUUAACAUAUACCCAUCACAGAAGUGAGGUCCAGGACAAUUCAAGUAUAUUUUAUGAUUAUCCUUUGUAAUAAAUUCCAUUUUUUUUAUGAAUGUGUAUUUAGAAUUAUCUUAAUUUUUUGUAUGAGAAUAAUGUUCCUUGUUUCCCGUACGAACGUAUUUAAUUGAAACAAAUCUUAAUAUGACAAAAAGGAAAACAUAUGGCCAGGAAUAUCUGACAAGAAUCUCAAUUAAGGACUAGGUCCUAACAACCAGUUAACCUUUUAUAUAAUAUGGUACAUAGACUCAGCCCUGCGAUUCUUUUCAAAGCAGAACCAAAUGCAUUGUACAAUGAAAGUU
rnacentral:lncRNA from 1 species